rnacentral:rRNA from 1 species
AUCAACUUUCGAUGGUAGGCUAGAGGCCUACCAUGGUAGUAACGGGUAACGGGGAAUUAGGGUUCGAUUCCGGAGAGGGAGCCUGAGAAACGGCUACCACAUCCAAGGAAGGCAGCAGGCGCGCAAAUUACCCAAUCCCGACACGGGGAGGUAGUGACAAUAAAUAACAAUACAGGGCCUUUCAGGUCUUGUAAUUGGAAUGAGUACAAUUUAAAUCUCUUAACGAGGAACAAUUGGAGGGCAAGUCUGGUGCCAGCAGCCGCGGUAAUUCCAGCUCCAAUAGCGUAUAUUAAAGUUGUUGCAGUUAAAAAGCUCGUAGUUGAAUUUUAGGCCUGGCCGGGCGGUCCGUCUUUGGCGAGUACUGUCCUGUGUCGGGUCCACCUUCUGGUGAACCAGUAUGUCCUUUAUUGGGUGUGCCGGGGAGCCAGGACCAUUACCUUGAAAAAAUUAGAGUGUUUAAAGCAGGCAUUUGCUUGAAUAGAUUAGCAUGGAAUAAUAGAAUAGGACGUUGUGGUUCUAUUUUGUUGGUUUCUAGGACCACCGUAAUGAUUAAUAGGGACAGUUGGGGGCAUUAGUAUUCAAUUGUCAGAGGUGAAAUUCUUGGAUUUAUUGAAGACUAACUAUUGCGAAAGCAUUUGCCAAGGAUGUUUUCAUUAAUCAAGAACGAAAGUUAGGGGAUCGAAGACGAUCAGAUACCGUCGUAGUCUUAACCAUAAACUAUGCCGACUAGGAAUCGGGCGAUGUUGAAAAAAUGACGCGCUCGGCACCUCAUGGGAAACCAAAGUGUUUGGGUUC